AGAGUUUGAUCCUGGCUCAGGACGAACGCUGGCGGCGUGCUUAACACAUGCAAGUCGAACGAUGAAGCCCAGCUUGCUGGGUGGAUUAGUGGCGAACGGGUGAGUAACACGUGAGUAACCUGCCCUUUCCUCUGGGAUAACUCCGGGAAACCGGUGCUAAUACUGGAUAUGACUGCUGCCUGCAUGGGUGGUGGUGGAAAGAUUUAUCGGGAUUGGAUGGACUCGCGGCCUAUCAGCUUGUUGGUGGGGUAAUGGCCUACCAAGGCGACGACGGGUAGCCGGCCUGAGAGGGUGACCGGCCACACUGGGACUGAGACACGGCCCAGACUCCUACGGGAGGCAGCAGUGGGGAAUAUUGCACAAUGGGCGGAAGCCUGAUGCAGCGACGCCGCGUGAGGGAUGACGGCCUUCGGGUUGUAAACCUCUUUCAGCUCUGACGAAGCUUUUGUGACGGUACCUACAGAAGAAGCACCGGCUAACUACGUGCCAGCAGCCGCGGUAAUACGUAGGGUGCGAGCGUUGUCCGGAAUUAUUGGGCGUAAAGAGCUUGUAGGCGGUUUGUCGCGUCUGCUGUGAAAGCCCGGGGCUUAACUCCGGGUCUGCAGUGGGUACGGGCAGACUAGAGUAUGGUAGGGGAGACUGGAAUUCCUGGUGUAGCGGUGGAAUGCGCAGAUAUCAGGAGGAACACCGAUGGCGAAGGCAGGUCU
rnacentral:rRNA from 1 species